rnacentral:rRNA from 1 species
UACGUAGGGGGCAAGCGUUGUCCGGAUUUAUUGGGCGUAAAGAGCGUGUAGGCGGCCACACAGGUCUGCUGUGAAAACUCGAGGCUCAACCUCGAGCUGUCGGUGGAAACCGUGUGGCUAGAGUCCGGAAGAGGAGAGUGGAAUUCCCGGUGUAGCGGUGAAAUGCGCAGAUAUCAGGAGGAACACCGAUGGCGAAGGCAGCCCCCUGGGCUAACACUGACGCUCAGGCACGAAAGCGUGGGGAGCAAACAGG